rnacentral:rRNA from 1 species
GCGGUUAGACGAGAGGCCUAAGUUGACAACCAUCGGCGUAAAGAGUGGUUAAGGAAAACUAAAACUAAAGCCGAAUGUUUUCAUGGCUGUUAUACGCAUCCGAAAAUAAGAAGCUCCCCUACGAAAGUGGCUUUAACCCACCUGACCCCACGAAAGCUGUGAAA